CCUACGGGAGGCUGCAGUGGGGAAUAUUGGACAAUGGGGGGAACCCUGAUCCAGCCAUGCCGCGUGUGUGAAGAAGGCCCUCGGGUUGUAAAGCACUUUCAGUGAGGAAGAACGCCUGGUGGUUAAUACCCAUCAGGAAAGACAUCACUCACAGAAGAAGCACCGGCUAACUCCGUGCCAGCAGCCGCGGUAAUACGGAGGGUGCGAGCGUUAAUCGGAAUUACUGGGCGUAAAGCGCGCGUAGGUGGCUUGAUAAGCCGGUUGUGAAAGCCCCGGGCUCAACCUGGGAACGGCAUCCGGAACUGUCAAGCUAGAGUGCAUGAGAGGAAGGUAGAAUUCCCGGUGUAGCGGUGAAAUGCGUAGAGAUCGGGAGGAAUACCAGUGGCGAAGGCGGCCUUCUGGACUGACACUGACACUGAGGUGCGAAAGCGUGGGUAGCAAACAGGAUUAGAUACCCGUGUAGUC
rnacentral:rRNA from 1 species